GCCCAAUUUCGCACGUGCCUGUGGCCGCGUGCCGGUUGGUGGGCAUCCGGACAAGAGGCCGGACAGCCGCCAGGGAUCUUAAAGGAGCGGUGGUCGACAGGGGUGGAACCCUCCGGCCGUCCUCCAGGUCUUCACGGACCGGACCCCGACAACAACCGGCAGCCGGAGGCGAAACCGGCGAACCCCGCUCUCCACGGGGGACGCAGCUUAAAGCAACGACGAACGGGCUUUU
rnacentral:sRNA from 1 species